UGGUGGAGUGAUUUGUCUGGUUAAUUCCGUUAACGAACGAGACCUUUGCGUUCCAAUUUAACUGCUUUAACACUUGUGUUAUUGUAUGUUAUUUGAGGGACUAGCGAUUUUUCGUCGACGGAAGUUAGAGGCAAUAACA
rnacentral:rRNA from 1 species